rnacentral:rRNA from 1 species
UGAAUACGAGAUGCUACGGCGUCGAAGCAGUCUAUGUCAUACUUCCAAGAAAAGCUCGCACUGUCAUAAACAAAUAAUGCCUGUACCAUAACCGACACAGGUGGGUAGGUAGAGUAUACUAAGGGGCGCGAGAUAACUCUCUCUAAGGAACUCGGCAAAAUGACUCCGUAACUUCGGGAGAAGGAGUGCCUUAUUUAUAAGGUUGCAAUAACAAGAUCCAAGCAACUGUUUAUCAAAAACACAGGUCUCCGCUAAGUCGUAAGACGAUGUAUGGGGGCUGACGCCUGCCCAGUGCCAGAAGGUUAAAGAAGUUGGUUAGCAUUCGCGAAGCUGAUAACUGAAGCCCUGGUGAACGGCGGCCGUAAUUAUAACGGUCCUAAGGUAGCGAAAUUCCUUGUCGGGUAAGUUCCGACCCGCACGAAAGGCGUAAUGAUUUGGAUACUGUCUCGGAGAGGGGCUCGGUGAAAUAGACUUGUCUGUGAAGAUGCGGACUACCUGCACCAGGACAGAAAGACCCUAUGAAGCUUUACUGUAACUUGAGAUUGAAAUUGGACUUUACUUGCGCAGUAUAGGUGGGAGGCGUUGAUAAUAUUCUUGCGGGAUUAUUUGAGCCAUCAGUGAGAUACCACUCUUGUAAUGUUAGAUUUCUAACUUUGUAUCAUUAUCUGGUCAAAGGACAGUUUCAGGCGGGCAGUUUGACUGGGGCGGUCGCCUCCUAAACGGUAACGGAGGCGCACAAAGGUUUCCUCUGAACGGGUAGAAAUCGUAUCUAGAGUGUAAAGGCAUAAGGAAGCUUGACUGUGAGACCUACAAGUCGAGCAGGGACGAAAGUCGGUCCUAGUGAUCUGACGGUGCUGAGUGGAAAGGCCGUCACUCAACGGAUAAAAGUUACUCUAAGGAUAACAGGCUGAUCUCCCCCAAGAGUUCACAUCGACGGGGAGGUUUGGCACCUCGAUGUCGGCUCAUCGCAUCCUGGGGCGGUAGUACGUCCCAAGGGUUGGGCUGUUCGCCCAUGAAAGCGGUAUGUGAGCUGGGUUCAGAACGUCGUGAGACAGUUCGGUCCAUAUCCGGUGUAGGCGUUAGAAUAUUGAGAGGAGCCUUCUUUAGUACGAGAGGACCGAGAAGGACAUACCUCUGGUGUACCAGUUAUCGUGCCAACGGUAAACGCUGGGUAGCUAUGUAUGGAGUGGAUAACCGCUGAAAGCAUCUAAGUGGGAAGCCCACCUCAAGAUAAG